rnacentral:RNase_P_RNA from 1 species
UGAGGUGGUUGGGCGGUCGCGGCGUGGCCAGGGCCACGGCGAGGAACGUCCGGACUCCUCAGAGCAGGGCGGUGGGUAACACCCACCCGGGGCGACCCGCGGGACAGUGCCACAGAGAAUAGACCGCCGCGUCCUUGAGUGGAGCGCGGCAAAGGUGAAACGGUGGUGUAAGAGACCACCAGCACCCCCGGUGACGGGGGUGGCUCGGUAAACCCCGCCCGGAGCAAGGUCAGGCAGGAAGCGUUCGAGGGUGACUCGCCCGAGCUUCCGGGUAGGCCGCUUGAGGCGUAUGGAAACGUGCGCUCUAGAUGGAUGGCCGCCGCCGCGCCAAUGCGGGCAACCGCGGCACGGCACAGAAUCCGGCGUACAGACCACCUCAUCCG